AAACUAAUUAUUUGCGUUUUGAAAACGCAACUAGGGUUUUUGACCCAUAGUUUU
rnacentral:tRNA from 1 species